ACGUCAAUUUUUAUUUUAACAUCUGACUUUUAAUCAGAGGGUCGAAGGUUCGAGUCCUUCAUGGCUCACCA
rnacentral:tRNA from 1 species